UUAAAGAAUACGUGGUAAGAAUGCAGGGUUAAUUAUGUAAGUUUUGAAAUCUGGGGACCAAGAUGAAUAUCUUUCAUUCAUUCUUUCAGAUCUAAUUGCAUGAAUAGAGGAAUUUCUCCCUCCUGCAUCUCAUAUAGUGAAUGAAUCAUCCGAAGAUUGACUUGUACAGGCUAUUGGAGAGCUUCGAGCCCAUCCAUGGCGUUUCUUCUUCGCGAGGCCGAGCCAUCUAUUUUUUAUUCCGAUCAAAUUUGGAAGUCGUCAAAGUUGAGAUGAAAACGUCGCUUGAUGUUCGAGAUGAAGAACAACGUCGGUUGUUGUCAGGUCUGAUUUCCCAACCUUCGUAUGGUUUCUCUCUUAAACCUAUUUUAUCUCGGUGACAAUGAGAAGAAGAAAGGUGAGGAUGCAGAGAUGGCCGUCGUCGAAGAUGGUGGUCUGUGACAUCAUCGAGUCCAACUCUACAACCUAGAAAAUAUUUAACAAUAAAUCAUUCAAAUAUUUUUGUAUUUCGAAAAUAUCCCUCCGGCCUUUCAUCCUGGACAUCUUGGAAGUCAGAUCGCUUGAAUUCUAAAUCGCUCUCAACAUGUAGUAUGUAUUCUGUUAAACAGUACUGAAAUCAGAAAUUGCUACAUAUUUGAGAGUUUUGUUUUUGAAAGAGGCUACUUAUAUUAUAAACAAUGUUUUCAAAACUGUAUCAGGUAUCAUACAUAAAAGUUUAGUGGUAGGAGGUUUGAUGAUUCAAC
rnacentral:lncRNA from 1 species